ACAAAGAGAAGCGACCUCGCGAGAGCAAGCGGACCUCAUAAAGUGCGUCGUAGUCCGGAUUGGAGUCUGCAACUCGACUCCAUGAAGUCGGAAUCGCUAGUAAUCGUAGAUCAGAAUGCUACGGUGAAUACGUUCCCGGGCCUUGUACACACCGCCCGUCACACCAUGGGAGUGGGUUGCAAAAGAAGUAGGUAGCUUAACCUUCGGGAGGGCGCUUACCACUUUGUGAUUCAUGACUGGGGUGAAGUCGUAACAAGGUAACCGUAGGGGAACCUGCGGUUGGAUCACCUCCUAA
rnacentral:rRNA from 1 species